rnacentral:rRNA from 1 species
AUUGAACGCUGGCGGCAGGCCUAACACAUGCAAGUCGAGCGGUAGAGAGAAGCUUGCUUCUCUUGAGAGCGGCGGACGGGUGAGUAAAGCCUAGGAAUCUGCCUGGUAGUGGGGGAUAACGUUCGGAAACGGACGCUAAUACCGCAUACGUCCUACGGGAGAAAGCAGGGGACCUUCGGGCCUUGCGCUAUCAGAUGAGCCUAGGUCGGAUUAGCUAGUUGGUGAGGUAAUGGCUCACCAAGGCGACGAUCCGUAACUGGUCUGAGAGGAUGAUCAGUCACACUGGAACUGAGACACGGUCCAGACUCCUACGGGAGGCAGCAGUGGGGAAUAUUGGACAAUGGGCGAAAGCCUGAUCCAGCCAUGCCGCGUGUGUGAAGAAGGUCUUCGGAUUGUAAAGCACUUUAAGUUGGGAGGAAGGGCAUUAACCUAAUACGUUAGUGUUUUGACGUUACCGACAGAAUAAGCACCGGCUAACUCUGUG